AUUAAACGCUGGCGGCAGGCCUAACACAUGCAAGUCGAGCGGGGGAAGGUAGCUUGCUACCGGACCUAGCGGCGGACGGGUGAGUAAUGCUUAGGAAUCUGCCUAUUAGUGGGGGACAACAUCUCGAAAGGGAUGCUAAUACCGCAUACGUCCUACGGGAGAAAGCAGGGGAUCUUCGGACCUUGCGCUAAUAGAUGAGCCUAAGUCGGAUUAGCUAGUUGGUGGGGUAAAGGCCUACCAAGGCGACGAUCGGUAGCGGGUCUGAGAGGAUGAUCCGCCACACUGGGACUGAGCGACGGCCCAGACUCCUACGGGAGGCAGCAGUGGGGAAUAUUGGACAAUGGGGGGAACCCUGAUCCAGCCAUGCCGCGUGUGUGAAGAAGGCCUUAUGGUUGUAAAGCACUUUAAGCGAGGAGGAGGCUACUCUAGUUAAUACCUAGGGAUAGUGGACGUUACUCGCAGAAUAAGCACCGGCUAACUCUGUGCCAGCCGCCGCCGUAA
rnacentral:rRNA from 1 species